UCUUAUCUUGGAGCCGCUGGUCUUCCAUUCUCUCCGAAAGCUCCACGCUUUCUGGCUCCCCUCGCUCCACUGUGCUUGCUUCUCCUCUCCCUCGCUGCUACUCCUCUUCCGCCAUCUCACCACCCUACUCUUUCCGUCCUAUCCUCAGACGCCGCUCCAUUCGUCCCUGAUCUCCCCGUUUCUACAUCUCUGCCAAUGACGCCGCGAAAGUAGCGGAGAUGAAGAAGGUCCUCAUUGUCAACACCAACAGAGGUGGCCACACCGUCAUCGUUUUUUAUCUUGCCCAUGAUCUCCUCACCUCUGGCCACGAGGUCACCAUUCUGACGGUUGGAGAUGUGAGCUCUGAUAAGAUGAAGAAACCCCCCUUCAAUCAGUUCUCGGAGUUAGUGAUCAGCAGUGUUUGAUGUGGUUUUGGAUAACAAUGGGAAGGAUUUGGAUACUUUGAAAUAAAUCAAGAUAAGGCCAAGGGAUACGUAGCGUUCUGAUCUUCCAACCGGCAAAGUCGGAGAAGAUAAUCAUUCAAACUGUCUGGAAGGUCAGGAAAGAUGGCAUUGAAGCAGGAACCAAUCUCAUGCCGGACAUAGUUCCAAGACCAAUUGCAA